rnacentral:misc_RNA from 1 species
CUAUCAUCCCCGAGCUGUCCUUGAGUCCUCCUCUGUUUCGGGGCUCAGUAUCACCCAAACUCCACUCGCGCCCACACACACGUCUACGUGUGUGCCGCUCGCCGUCUCUCUUCUCAUUUCGCGUGUAUGGCGAAUCGGUAUCUCGGCGCGUCCCCACUUUCCCAUCUCCAUGAACACUCGCGGCCUUCCUCCCUCUCUUCCCCUCAUCAAGUCUCCAUAGGAGUGCGCGCCUUUUUCUUUCCGCCGUGAUAAUUUUCAUGCGGUGUGCCGGUGCAUAGUGUCGUGUGCCUUGCUCUUUUCCUCUUUCGAAUAUCUGUUGCUGUCCGUGUUGCCCUGGGGUGCGUGUGGAUCGGCGCCAUUCGUUUUCUCCCUUUUCUGUUUCGCGCCGCGCACCCUAGCGGCUCUCUCUCCCUCCCCUGCUUCUCUUCGUCACUCACCACUGAGGCACCCCCUCACCCUGCAGGGCUGACCGGAUUCCUCUCACCCCGCCUCGGGUGCACGCGUUCAACUCUCCUUGUUCGCCUUUCUUUCUUUCCUGCGCACUGUUGUGGUUGUGCUUUUUUUUUUCGGCGUGUCGCACCGCUUUUUUUUUUCUCUCCGCGGCGCACGCCUUUGUGUUUUCGUGAUUUUUCCAUUUUCGUUUUCUUUUUCACUUGGCCUUUCGUGAGGAAGGCGGCGAAGAGGGCGAACGCAGAAAAGAAGGGACGGCUCAGCAGAUCGUUUUCUUUCACGCACAGAGAGAGAGAGUGCGGACGAGGAGGAAGGAAGGAGACGAGUUGUCGCGGCAACAAGGGUUGAAGGAGCAAACGAGCGAGAAGCACAGAGGCAGAGAGCGUGAGGCGAGCAAAACGCACUCAGGGAAAGGUGAGUACUUCCAGACUUUUCACGGACACUCUCUGCGUCCGUACACUGAGGCUGCUGCGACUAGAGGAAGCGUUGCAAGGGUCGAAGCAGUAUUGCCAAUAUCAUUUGUGCUCGUGCCCUCACUUCCGUGUCUGUAGCAGCCUUUUUUGUUUUUUUUUUUUAUUUUUCUGGGCCUCCUUGCCUGUCAGCUGUGUCUUGUGUCUCCUUCCCGUUUGGCGGUUUUCGUUCAUCUCUCCCACUCCCUUUGAUUCCGUUGCCUUAUACAUUGGCCAUCUUUUUUUUUAUCUUUUUUUUUUCGCUCGUUUCUGUGGCACGGUGAGGGAGCUCCCCGUUUUGCGUGUGGGCGUGCACUCUUUCUUUUUCUCUGGCGUAUGUGCGUGCGUUUUGUGCGUCGACUGCAUGUUUUUGUUGUUUGCCUGCCAUUUCACUGCACCGCGCGUAUCCCCUCUUCUCUCGCCUUUAGCGUUUUGCGUCUUUGUAAAGAGGGAACGAAAAAAAAGCGCCCUCGGCCUGCUCGACUGCUGCUGUUCAUGCGAACAGGUGUGCUGAGACGUGCCAAGGUGUACCCGUCACUCACUCUUUCGCUUUUGGUGCAUGUAACACGCCGGUGUUCUCUUUUUGUGCUUCUAAAGGGUCACUUUCGAGUCCUGAUUUUUCUUGUUGAGUCUGCUGCCCUUCCCUUUUUCGCUUGGUUCGCUUUGGUUCUUUUUUUUAUUACUCUCGCCAGCCUUUCGCCGACAUCGCCGGCGGCCUCCAUCUCGGCAGGAGACGGAAAAUCCCAUUUGUCGAUUGGCAUACACGUGGGCGCCGUGGCUGUCAUGAGCGGAAGUGGAGCGACAGGUAGCGGCAGCGCCGCAGGGCUCUCCAGCAGCACCAACACCAACUGUAAAACAUCUACUUUAGCGCGAAGCAGUGGCAACAACACGAAGAACGGCUCGAUCAGCACAGGAAAGAAGCCAAGAGGCACCGCAGCAGCAGCUGCGACGACGCAAGAGGCGUGCGGUAGCGGGUGCUGCUAUCACGCAGGCAGACCGACCAGCCCCACUCCUACAUCAGACGAAGUCAGCGUGGCGAGCUUGACGGCCGACACGGCAGACAGCGGCCCGUCGAAAUCGCCAUCGACCCCAACAGAGACGAUCGGUGUGACGCCAGCAGAGAGCUUCAUGACACUUCAUUCACCGGCGGACACACCGGCUCGAGCGCGCAAGCCGCCGCAUGCCUUCGCCACGUCGCUGCUGAACCUCGAGGUGAAGGUGCUGACGCAAGCUCUCGGCGCGGAGAACCAAUGGGCAGAACAGGGUGAUGGCCGUGUUGUGUUCAGUGACUUCACCAUCCGCGUCAUCACGUCUGGCGUCGGAAAGGAUGAGCCGCAGAAGGAGAGUAGGGCAGCCGGGUUGACUUCCUCUGGCGCCGCUGACGCAGCCACGGCAAGCGGAAACGGCGGCGUAGGGGCGGCGCCACGGAAGGGCGUGGCCACCUCGGAUGCGUCGGCGCUGUCGAACACGGUCUCGGAGUUCGAAGAGGACGACACGGCCGACGAGUCGAUCAUUCUGGAGGACACCAUCAGCAACGACACUCCAUUUGUCGGAGAGAACUGCUGCAUUGUAUGGAACAGCUUUGAGAAGCAGCUCUCUCUGUGCCUCAUGUAUGCCUCGGAGGAGGGCUACUCCGCGUCAUGGAGCGCGCUCGUGGCGCUGCAAGAUAAGAGCUACCCGCCGUUCCGCUUUGACCUCCUAGAGCGAUGCCGGCCAGUCAGCGAGCGGACGGCGCUGGCACCGGGUGACAGUACGUCCUCCGUCACCCCAUCAACGGCGGCGACCGACAAAACAGAGGAGGUGGUGCUCCCGUACUCGUACUUCAUCCACACCAAGUACGACCCCCCACUCGGCUUCAUCGAGCAUCACGCCUUGUCACUCUCCAUCAUCGAGCACCGUCACGCGACGAACCCGGCUCUCUACGCGGACAAGGAAACGGUACUGAAAAUGCUGAACAUGGCGAACGCUGACCUACUGGACUACCUCAUAUCAGAGGACACGUUUCCGCUGCUUCUCUCGGGGCUGCAGUGCACGGCUUCGCCGUGGAGCUGGUCGGUGCCGGAGCCGCUGCGGCUGCUGCACAUACCUGAAGAAGUCAUCACGCUCAUCCGGAAGGACCGCUGGAUCGGCUUUCUGCAGAACACAGCGCUUCCGAGUUGCGGCGCCGCAGACUCGGUUGCUGAGCUGAUCGCCAAGUACGCAACUAUGAGCCGGCGAAUCCGCAACGACAUUGUGUGUGCGUUGCUCACCUGUGACAGCAUGUUCUCGGAGGCUUGCGAGGCGCUCCGGGUCCUGCCUCAGGUGACCCCAGCGACGAUGAGCGGUGGGACGAGUGCGCGCAACCGCGGCCUGUCCGUUGAAGCCUCGUCGAGCGCGACCUCUCUCAGCUCUGAGGGACGCUGCAGCAUGAGUGCAGUAGGGAACGGCGCGCCGUCGCCCAUGUCCACACCACCGGCAGUCGACACCGUGCCCUCGACGCAAAAGGCGGAGCUGCAAGUUCUCGCUCACCUACGCUUCUUCCGCGAACUCGUCACCCUUAGCAUUGCCGAGCUCGGCCGUGAGAUGGUCGGGCCGAUUGUAGGCAAGAUUUAUCAGAGCGGUCUGCUGGAGCCGCUCUCCCUCGUGGCGGAGCGGUUCGCGAUGCCCAGCGGGACAGCGGCGGCGUUCGUCAAACACAUUAUGGACGGUAGCGGGGGCGCACUGAACGGUGCCCGACGCAACGGCGGUGGCGGCUCGACCUCCAACUCGAACGGCGCCGCCGCUGGUGGCACAAGCAGUACCGCCAACUGCUACUCGCUUGCGGUGGAGCAGGAGCUCGCGGCAGUGCUGGAUGUCACGCUCGUGCGGCUGAACGAGCGGCAGGAGGAGCAGCUAAUGAAUGAGCACGUGCGAUCGCCGAUUUUGGCGGACCCCGUCAAGUACAACGGCAUCGUCACAUUCAUGCUACGCCAGCUAAUCAUCGGGGGUCCUAUCGGGACAGCCUUCGCGACCAGCGGCACUGGCACAAGUGCGACUCGUUCCUCCUUGUCCAUCUUCCCGCCACCAAAGCGUAUCCUUCGAGACAGCAUGUCCUCCACCAACCCAUUUGCGCUCUUUCACGUCCUGGGACUUCACGAUGACGAGGGGUCUGCCGCGUCGGAGCGCAAGCUGGACUCCGAGAGCACGGGCAUCCGCAAUCGGUUUCACAAUUUCAUCAUCACCAAGUACAUUGCCCACGCCACGCGUGGCGUCAUGACGCCGGUGCCGCUGCCUCCCUCUCUCGGCGGCGUCGUUAGCUCGACCCGCAACAUUCCCAUCGUGCAGUUUAACAACGCCAACACGUCCCAGAACGGCGGCGCUAGGCCCAUGCAUCAGGAUGGCAACGAGAGCAACACCGGCAGCGCGACCGUUGGGGUGGCGAACACUUGUCCGGCAGCUGGUGGCGGCGGCGGCGCCGGCGGCUGCAGCGGUGCGGCGUCCCCGGUGUUACCGCUGCCGCAGGGCAUCACCCCCGCGCUCAUCCGGGUCCUCGAGUACAUGGUGAACCUCACCAACAACGCCAAUCGCGAGUUGAUUCUGAAGACUGUUUUCCACUACAAAUCCCAUAUUUGGCACUUCAUCGAGGGCGUGUGCGACACCUUGUGCGGCGCAAACGGGGCCGGCGCACGAUGCCAGGUCGGGCUAGAUGUGCUGUGCGGCUGCGUGCGCUUUCUCAAGGUCGUGGUGACCCAGAUGACGGUGAUCACGGCAGAGGUGGAUGAGAAUCCGCUGUCGUCGUACGCGUCGUCACGCGAGCCGCUGUCGCCGCAACUCGUCACCACGAUUUGCCGCCAACUCACUGUGGAGAGGGACACAUUUGGCUACCUCUUGAAAGCAUACAACGAGCUCGGUGGGCGACGCCGCGAUUCUGUCUUCCACUCAAGCCUGCUAUCAGUGCUUGACAUUAUAGGCAAGUACUCCGCGCACGAGCCGGAGGACAGCACCACGAACAACCUACGCGACGUUCGCGACUAUCUCUUCUUCAAGCAUUGCACACGACUUCCGGAGGUGUUCGCCAGCCGUUACCGCGAAGCCCUCCUGAGCGAAGUGACCGUGCGCCUUGGCCAGGAGGCGACACACUCGCCGAACGACAGCGUCUCUGUGCUGAGCAGCACUGCAGGCAGUGAGCUGACUCGCUGCUCUAGCAAGCUUCGCUUUGUCGACGAGGUGGACGCAGUGUCAGGCGGUGUGGACGGCACGGUGGUGCCCAGCAGUGUCGUGAGCCCUGCCAUUAUGGUGAGCAUGGCGAACGCGGAAGAAAAGCAGCGUCGACGCAACGGCCGCUCGUCGAUGGAGCAAUGGAAUGCAACGGCUAACAUUGUUAUGGGCUCACCAUCGCAAGUGCGUUCUGUGGCUUCCUUGGGCUUGGCGGAUGACCAUGGUGCGCGGGCUUCUUCCUCAUCCUCGCCACCGAGCCGCAAGAGCCCACCGUUGACGAUUAGCAUCACCCGCCCAGGUAGCGGUAGCAGCAGCAGCAGCGGCAGCGCAGGUAGCUCCCGCGAACCAGCUGGUGAUCUGUUCAAGGCAAAUGCCGCUCAGCACAAUGGCUCUUCCGUGAAUGGCGACGGGCUGCUUGCUCAGGCCAGUCCCCCCAGCACAGUGGCGCCGACCGCCCGUAAAACCGACACGGUGCUGCGGCCGACCGCGCCGAAGGAGGAGAAGCCGCCGGCGCGCCCUCGCAACUUCGCGAGCGUCCUCGAAAACCCCUCGCGCACCAACGCCGCGGCCUCUGGCGAGCAAAGUGGCAGGAGUCGGGGCACGCCAAACGCCGCUGCCAAGCACGCGCCUGCCUCUCCGGAGGAGGUGCUGCUGAGCAGAACUGGACAAAGUUCCGUGCCGCAGAGUGUGGAGCACGCCAAUGGGACGGCGCUACCACUCAAUGACAACGUUGUCCUUCCGAAGAUCAAGAAGCUCCUUUCAACUGGCGGGAAGCGCUCGUGAGAUGAACCUUUGGGGACCCUUGCCCCCUUUCGGUGCUGUCCACAGAGCGGUCUGACAAGUGCGUGCGCACACUUGCUAACGCCUGGUGUCGCGAGUACGUCCCUGCUGCCGUGUUUCUCCAGUGCAUAUACCAACCCGUGACACUGUUUCGUCUCUUCUCCCCUCAUCUCUGUGUGCCGAGCGAAACUUCUCUCGCAGGUGGCACCUGAGGUGUGGCCGCGGCGCUCUCCACCUCAUGCCGGGUCUCACACAUCCUCCGUGCUCCCUCUUUUCCUCCUCAAAUUUCCCCCGCUUCCCUGCUUUCCUCUGUCUCUUCCCAGCUUCGCCAUUCGAUUCUUCAUUGUGUACGUUUCCAUUGGUUGUUUUCCCUCCUCCCCCUUUUUUUCUUUGUUUUGGCCUCUUCGCUCCCUUCUCUCUGUUGCCGUGCGUGCUCUCUGACCAGGCGGUGCAUUCGACAUGCAGGGAUUACUGUCAUCUCACCUUCUCCCUACAUAGAUGCGCACAUGUGUAUACAAAGGCCGAAGCUUAAAAACGAAAAGGAACGCAGCAAGUACUCAUGACCUGUGAGGAGUGCCUCAGGCCCAUCUUGUGCUCUCUCUCUCUUUUUGUUGUUGUGUGUAUGCAUGGCUGUGGAAAAAGGCACAUCGGCACGGGUGUUUUCCUUGGUGCCUCCCCGCUACACUCUGGUUCUCUUCUCCUCCUCCCCUCCAUCCCGCCUCCCUUUUCUCUGCCACUCUCCUCACCACCACCCCACGGCCCCUUCGUAAUGUAGUCUCUUCGGUUUGUUUUCGGAACACGUUAUUGGGCUUUUUCUCCCUUUCUGCAUCUUCUUCCUGUCUUGUUUCUACUCACGUUUCUGUGUUGCUUUUUUUGUCUGUCGCUCUGUCUGCCCCCCUCCCCUUCCCCCCUCUCACUCGACUGCGUGCGUCAGCGCUUCUCCUUCGUCCGCUUCGCGAGGCAAUGGGGGGAGGUAGGGCGGGAGGGACGUUCGAAGAAAACGAAACACACACACACACACACACACAUUCACAGUGUCCCAGCACAGAGCAAGAACAGAAACACGAGAACAGCACUGCACUUCUUCCCCUCUUUUUAUUCGGUUGUUUUACGCCCCUCUCUUGUUUACUGCCAUGGGGCCCGCUCUCUCCCCCCCCCUCGCCUGCGUGUGUGCGUGCGCGUCCGCUCUCGUUCUGUUUCCGUUCCCUGUCUCGUUUCAAAGUGCGCUGUAUCCUUCGUUGUUGUUCAUUUGCUUUGGCUUUUCAAAGCCAUCGACGUCGACGCAGUAACAGGGCCUUCGUCCCUCGCUUCCCUUUCCUUUUGGGGGAGAGGGAACUCUCUUCUGAUAUCGCUUCUCCAUGUAAAAGAAAAGGAAAAAAAAACAUAAACAGCAGCUGUGCGGGCGAAUUGGUCAACGUGAGCAUGCAGAAGCGAUAGACGACGACGAAGCAGCGCACACGCGUGGAGACGGAGCUGCUAGAGAACGCACAUUCACUGCGCGCUCUCAUGCAUAAUAAGGUAAGGAUGGGGACAAUGAGCGAUCGAGCCAGAACGCAUAGCUUCGCACGCGUAUCAAGAGGGAGAGGGAAGGAAAAACACGAGUGCGCUGUCGUCCUUUAGUAUGAUCGCGAACCUAGUGACGCUUGCGACCGUGCGCUCUGAUAUGCUGCUCGCUUCUAGUUGUUCUCAGACGUGGACAUCAUUUUUUUGUGUUCCGUCCAGUUUCCCUUUCCCUAGCUUGUGCAGUGGCUCGUGUAGUCCACUCUUGCCAUCCCCUUUUUUCGCACUCGCAUGGGGUCUGACCUUCUCUCUCUGCCUGUGUGCGAUUACCUCUCUCUUCCUGGUCGCCGUUUCUCCCACUUUUUCUCACCUUACACGUUUUAUAAG